rnacentral:lncRNA from 1 species
GCAGCUUGUCUUGAGCAUAGAUUAUAGAGCCGUUUGAUUGAUCGACUAUAAUAGUACAUCCUGUAGAUGUAAUGUUACGGUCGAGGCGGCUUCUAUCAGCUUCUGCGUAAUUACUCACAUUGUUGUAGCGACUGCAGCGCGUGUGCCCGCCGCGGCCUGUGGAUCAAUCAACAUUAUUUUUAUAGCCACGCUAUUGGGCAUAUAACUGCUAUGCUCUUAUGAAACGUCACAUUAAGGCGCGUCCCCGAGCAAAACGCAGCGGAAGCCGUUUAUUGUACUGUUUUUUGAAGUCAACUUCUCUUUGUCUAAAAUAAAUACCAACUAAUGAAAAAUACAUAAAAUUUGUAGACAUUCUUGA